GCGGGAAAUCUUACCGGGUCCGGACACACUGAGGAUUGACAGGUAACGUUAUACACACAUAUAUUUACUCUCGGGUAUUUAUACUGCUGUGUAUAUAUAAAAUAUGCUAGUCCUUUCAUGAUUAUGUGAUAGGUGGUGCAUGGCCGUUCUUAGUUCGUGGAGUGAUCUGUCUGCUUAAUUGCGUUUCACUAAGGAUCUAUAUUCAUAUUACGCAUAGCAUUUUGACCCCUUUAUGCUUCGGUAUAAAGCUGCGCGUCAAACCUUGCUAUCUGCGUAUAUUAGAUCCUGAAAGCAACGAACGUGACCGCAACCUCUUGUUGCCUUUAACUAGGUUUUGCUUACGUAUAGCUUCGGCUUUACGCUUUGCAUCUAAAAAGGCUGAUUUUCUAAACUAGAGGGACCGCUGUUACUUUCUUAAACCAGAGGAAGGUUGCGGCAAUAACAG
rnacentral:rRNA from 1 species